CCCAGAAAGCUUUGUGCACAAUCUCUCUUACUUUUUUUUCCAAGCUGUGUUCUGGUAGCUCAGCUGGUUUGAUCUGGAAGUCUCCAUUAACAACAAUUUCGUGUGCUAGUGCCAUGUUUGUUACUCCUUUAGCUGUUUCCAUUAACUCUUCUACUGACACAGGCCGAGGAGGGCUAGACUUUGGUGUAUCAUCUCUGUGUGAACCUGGAACACUCUGCUGUAUUCUCUUCCUGAUAGAGUUGUCCAAGCUCUCUUGGUCAUCCUCCAAAGCACUCAACUUUUCUUCACUUGAAUGCGGCUUGUGGGGAUUCUGAGACAUUUUCAGUUGUUUCUCCGGCGCACAGCGAUCCCGCCGCACCGCCGCCACAGCGCAGGGGCGGGCCGGGCCUCCGGCAGCCGUUCGCCCUACG
rnacentral:lncRNA from 1 species